CCUACGGGUGGCAGCAGUCGAGAAUCAUUCACAAUGGGGGAAACCCUGAUGGUGCGACGCCGCGUGGGGGAAUGAAGGUCUUCGGAUUGUAAACCCCUGUCAUGUGGGAGCAAAUUAAAAAGAUAGUACCACAAGAGGAAGAGACGGCUAACUCUGUGCCAGCAGCCGCGGUAAUACAGAGGUCUCAAGCGUUGUUCGGAAUCACUGGGCGUAAAGCGUGCGUAGGCUGUUUCGUAAGUCGUGUGUGAAAGGCACGGGCUCAACCCGCGGACGGCACAUGAUACUGGGAGACUAGAGUAAAGUAGGGGGAGCCGGAAUUCUCGGUGUAGCAGUGAAAUGCGUAGAUAUCGAGAGGAACACUCGUGGCGAAGGCGGGUUCCUGGACAUUAGCUGACGCUGAGGCACGAAGGCCAGGGGAGCGAAAGGGAUUAGAUACCCCAGUAGUC
rnacentral:rRNA from 1 species